CCCGGACAUGUCGACCACGGUGAGCUUGCACUUGUUCAGGGUGAAGCGCUCGACGUUGAAGCCGACGGUGGGGGCGACGAACUCGGGCGGGUCGCGGUCCUUCUCCGGCUUGAGGUUAUUCACCAGUGUGGUCUUACCACCGUUGGCCAAUCCCAUGACCAGCAGGCUCCUCUGCAAUGGAUGAACGUGGGGGAAAGGCCCGUGGGUCAACGGGGAUGGUUCGAAAAGAUUGGGGAGAAGGCACCGCGGGUCUCGAGGCGGGGACGGGGGCGGGUAAGGGUAGAUCCGAGGACGAACCUUCUUCUUGGCCAGGCCAAGGGCCACCAAAAGCCUGCCGAAGAAGCCCAUGGCCUCACUCGGGUCACCCACCGGCGUUCUCCCGGC
rnacentral:lncRNA from 1 species